rnacentral:tRNA from 2 species
GGAGAGGUAGCGAAGCUGGCCGUAACGCGCUCGACUCGAAAUCGAGUUACCGGUUAAUCCCCGGUACGUGGGUUCGAAUCCCACCCUCUCCGCCA